UGCCAGCAGCCGCGGUAAUACAGAGGUCCCGAGCGUUGUUCGGAUUCACUGGGCGUAAAGGGUGCGUAGGUGGCGAGGUAAGUUGAAUGUUAAAUCUUGGGGCUCAACCCCAAAACCGCAUUCAAUACUGCUUUGCUAGAGGAUUGUAGAGGAGACUGGAAUUCACGGUGUAGCAGUGAAAUGCGUAGAUAUCGUGAGGAAGGCCAGUGGCGAAAGCGAGUCUCUGGGCAAUUCCUGACACUGAGGCACGAAGGCCAGGGGAGCAAACGGGAUUAGAUACCCCGGUAGUCCUGGCAGUAAACGGUGCACGUUUGGUGUGGGAGGAUUCGACCCCUUCCGUGCCGUAGUUAACACGAUAAACGUGCCGCCUGAGGAGUACGGUCGCAAGAUUAAAACUCAAAGGAAUUGACGGGGGCCCGCACAAG
rnacentral:rRNA from 1 species